GUGGGUAACCUGCCUGUAAGACUGGGAUAACUCCGGGAAACCGGAGCUAAUACCGGAUAGUUCCUUGAACCGCAUGGUUCAAGGAUGAAAGACGGUUUCGGCUGUCACUUACAGAUGGACCCGCGGCGCAUUAGCUAGUUGGUGAGGUAACGGCUCACCAAGGCGACGAUGCGUAGCCGACCUGAGAGGGUGAUCGGCCACACUGGGACUGAGACACGGCCCAGACUCCUACGGGAGGCAGCAGUAGGGAAUCUUCCGCAAUGGACGAAAGUCUGACGGAGCAACGCCGCGUGAGUGAUGAAGGUUUUCGGAUCGUAAAGCUCUGUUGUUAGGGAAGAACAAGUGCAAGAGUAACUGCUUGCACCUUGACGGUACCUAACCAGAAAGCCACGGCUAACUACGUGCCAGCAGCCGCGGUAAUACGUAGGUGGCAAGCGUUGUCCGGAAUUAUUGGGCGUAAAGGGCUCGCAGGCGGUUUCUUAAGUCUGAUGUGAAAGCCCCCGGCUCAACCGGGGAGGGUCAUUGGAAACUGGGAAACUUGAGUGCAGAAGAGGAGAGUGGAAUUCCACGUGUAGCGGUGAAAUGCGUAGAGAUGUGGAGGAACACCAGUGGCGAAGGCGACUCUCUGGUCUGUAACUGACGCUGAGGAGCGAAAGCGUG
rnacentral:rRNA from 2 species